CCUACGGGAGGCAGCAGUGAGGAAUAUUGGUCAAUGGACGAGAGCCUGAACCAGCCACGUCGCGUGAAGGAAGACGGUCCUCUGGGUUGUAAACUUCUUUUAUCAAGGAAUAAAACGAGGCACGUGUGCCUUUUUGUAUGUACUUUAUGAGUAAGGAUCGGCUAACUCCGUGCCAGCCGCCGCGGUAAUACGGAGGGUCCGAGCGUUAUCCGGAUUUAUUGGGUUUAAGGGGAGCGCAGGUGGGUGGUUAAGUCAGUUGUGAAAGUUUUCGGCUCAACCGUAAGAGUGCAUUUGAUACUGGCAGUCUUGAGUACAGUAGAGGUAGGUGGAAUUCGUGGUGUAGCGGUGAAAUGCGUAGAUAUCACGAAGAACCCCGAUUGCGAAGGCAGCUUACUGGACUGUAACUGACGCUGAGGCUCGAAAGUGUGGGUAUCAAACAGGAUUAGAUACCCUUGUAGUC
rnacentral:rRNA from 1 species